rnacentral:tRNA from 1 species
GUCUCUGUAGUAUAUUAAUUACACUGGUCUUGUAAGCCAGAAAAGGAGAAAGUAACUCUCCCAAAGACU